GGGGAGGCAGCCACCACGCCGGAUGGAUCCCCGGGCAGCCCAGUUAGGGAGACAUUAAGGCCCCCUGCACCAGCUGGCACCAACUCUCCAGCCAAAUGAGUGAGCCUCCGUGGAAACAUCUUCCAGCCCCAGCUGAGCCUUCGCCUACUGUAGCCCCAACCUACCUCUGACUGAACCUCUAGAGAAUUCGUGCGGAGUCACCAAGCUAAGCUGCUCCUGAAUACUUGACCCACAGAAACUGAGAUCCAUGAUUACUUCCCCUUGAUUACUUUCUGCUGGUGGGGCAUCAGAAGACCAAAGCUCACACCCACGUUUAGAAGCUGUAUGACUUCUGGUAAAUUACUUUGAUGAGGCAACUAUAGGACCGUGCUAUACAGACACUCAACAGAUUUAAAUUCUUCUGAAGAUCAAAUAGACCUCACGGUACACUUGCCAGAUGAAAUAAAACAGGAAUCUGAAGAGCAACUUAGAGCAGGGUAGACAUGCCAGUAAUAUUUCUGGAAUCAAAAUACCUAUCUACUGGCCUAAUAAUUAACUCAAGAAUUUUACACUUUGUAUAUCUGAUAU